UACGUAGGGUGCAAGCGUUGUCCGGAAUUACUGGGUGUAAAGGGUCCGCAGGCGGACGGGCAAGUCGGUGGUGAAAUCCUCCCGCUUAACGGGGGAACUGCCUCCGAUACUGCUCGUCUUGAGUUCGGAAGAGGGUGAUGGAAUUCAUGGUGUAGCGGUGAAAUGCGUAGAGAUCAUGAAGAACACCGGUAGCGAAGGCGGUCACCUGGUCCGUAACUGACGCUCAGGGACGAAAGCGUGGGGAG
rnacentral:rRNA from 1 species